UAGUCAUAUGCUUGUCUCAAAGAUUAAGCCAUGCAUGUCUAAGUAUAAGCGACUAUACUGUGAAACUGCGAAUGGCUCAUUAAAUCAGUUAUGGUUUAUUUGAUGGUACCUUGCUACUUGGAUAACCGUAGUAAUUCUAGAGCUAAUACAUGCAGGACUUCCCGACUCACGAAGGGAUGUAUUUAUUAGAUAAGAAACCAAACCCCUCGGGGUUGUGUGCUGAGUCAUAAUAACUGCUCGAAUCGCACGGCUCUACGCCGGCGAUGGUUCAUUCAAAUUUCUGCCCUAUCAGCUUUCGAUGGUAGGAUAGAGGCCUACCAUGGCGUUUACGGGUAACGGAGAAUUAGGGUUCGAUUCCGGAGAGGGAGCCUGAGAAAUGGCUACCACAUCCAAGGAAGGCAGCAGGCGCGUAAAUUGCCCGAAUCCUGACACAGGGAGGUAGUGACAAGAAAUAACAAUACAGGGCCUUUUUGGUCUUGUAAUUGGAAUGAGUACAAUUUACAUCUCUUCACGAGGAUCAAUUG
rnacentral:rRNA from 1 species